rnacentral:lncRNA from 1 species
AAUUAAAUAGCAAGGGUUGUCAAUGGCCUCCAAAUGUACAGAAUAAGCAAUAGUCCUACUCGUUCCGCGACCAGCAACGUCCACUGCACUGCACAACAGAACCAAUGCUUGUUUUGGUUUGGGCAGUUAUGCUAACUUAGCUAGCUACAGAUCCUGUGCAGAGAAAAGAGCGAGCUACAUGCACGUCCAGUUGCUUUUUUUGUACAAUCCCCAAUCUUAACGCGGACUCGCUGCAAGUAAACCAUUUAGGUAUACGUUUAGUCUGAUGACAAAAUCAUUUAAGAAGAGCGGGAUCUGAUUUUGCAUUACCUAGCCGGUUAGCACUAGCUGGCUGGCACUCCAAACGUCAUUACUGGCACUGCUUUCUCCCUCACAGUUUUCGGUUGUGUUAGAAUCAUAGCAGUGGCUAUCAAAUAUCGCCAUCUGGCGUUGGGUUACAGAGACCUGCUUAUCUGUUUCUAUUUAAACGAGAAAAGUUCACCCGAUCCAGGCAGUGUAGUUGUUUCAUAUAUGUACUGAUUAAAAAAAGCAGACGUGUCAAACGUCUUGUUUAGUGUUCUAUUUUAACACCAAAUAUGCCCAGUAACGAAGCUAGCCUGGGAAUGCAAUUGUUUAUGUUCUUCUCCCCGUACUGUACUCCGUGGAAUGUGCCGAUGACAAGGAGUGGCCAAAAACAAUGUUAGUUCUCAGACUGGGCGCACCUGCUAGAGUAGACCCACAAUACUUUUCCGCAAGACCAUAGGGAGUCCCAUGACAGAUGACGUAAUCAGGAAUAGGGCCGAGAUGGAUUGAUCUAGUUAAAGAAAUCUAAGUAGGAUAUUUUGGGUACAAACAGUUUAGAGACAUUGACUGCGGUGUUUUGUCGGUGCUCGUGAUCAGUGACAAUGUCUGUGCUUUUCUGUUGCUGCUGUGUCACCCCUUCCGAAGACACGGACGAGAGACAGCCCCUACUGCACCCAAAUCUUUCAGAAGUAAAGAAGCCAGAGUCUGCCAGAAAGCCUCGACCAGCGCCCACAGUGAGUCGGAGUGGUCAGUUGAUCCAAAAACGGGUGGGUGUGAAUGACUUGGACCAGCGGUUUUCUGAUGUGGCUGAGACGUUCAACCUACAGCAGGAGAGCUAUAAUGUCAUGAAGGAACACAUCAUCUCCCUUCUUCACACUUUUGAUUGUAACGAUGACAGCACUCUAAGUUUGACUGAGUGUGUGAGGAAGAUCAAGAAGGAGUAUGAGGACAGCUAUAGGGUAACCAUGGUGAUAAAUGGGUACGACUUUUCUCUAUCUGUGGUUCCGCUGAAGUCUGCAAGCGAGGUGGAGGAGUACCUGCCUCGCCGGCUCCGAUUGGCUCAGGAGAAGCUCAGGAGCAUUUCCCACAGCGCCAAAGCAAUAGGCGCUGCAGGCACCAAACUCCAGGAACUGAUUGACUGGCUCCUGAAUACGGGGGAGCAAAUGGCAGAGCAGGUCAGGGAGGCAGCACUAACCCACCAGGAGCGCUGUAGGCUUGAGGAGAACUUGGUUGAGACCAUACAGGAAGUAAGACGGGCUAGGGAGCUUUCGCAAGGGUACCGCCAGCAAGCUGGAGAGGUGCAAAAUGAGGUUGCACAGAUAGCAGGGCUGACCUAACACACAAACACACACACAUACUGGGCAAAAAUACAUCUUUGGUGGCACUGAAUCUAUAGGUCACAAUUAAAUAUUUUGGGAAUAAAUCUAGGCCAGUUUUAGUGUCUUGUAAAAGCACAUUAUUCUUAUAAUGUUAGGUAACACUAAAUUGCAGGGCAAGUGCUACAGUUUGUGACUGUGUGUAGAUAGCUGUGUAAUGUGUAUGUAUAAGCCCUUGUUAGAGAAAUGAGCUGUGAUAUAGCUAAUGUAUUCUGGACAGGAAUUCAUUAAAAUGAUUCAUCUAAAUGAAUUCAAAUUCUAAUCACUGUGUGUAUAAAAUCCUUGUUAAUGAUAGACACAAUGUAUGUGUUUCUUCUGUGUUAAUAAUAAUUGUCUUACUGUUUUAGAACAAAUAAAAAAGGCUAUAUAGUUUGUGUCUUAAUAUUUGUAAAAAUAUGUUUGAGUGACAUAACUGAGUAUUAGAGCUUGGUAGACCACACAUCACAACCACUUAGCACACAGAGAUUGCCUACCGGAACUGACAAUACCCUGCAGCAGGAGUAAAGAUAGAGGGGUGGUUGGAGGGAGGGGAGACUGUGGGGGGUUAGACAGUAAAAAGUGUGUGUGUGCGUGUGCUUGAGAAAGAAAAACAUGAAAGGAUGGAAGGAAAAACUUUGCCGUUGGUAUGUUAGAAAGCUCUGAAGUGUGGUUGGUAGAGGAGUUGGUAGUCCAUGUGCCUAGUCAAUAACAUACAUAAUGUAUUAGUUCAAAGGUUAAAUACGGCAAUUAGCUAAAGGCUUGUUUUUCUAAAAACAUAACCUUUGCAGGAUCAUUAGCUGGGCACCUCAUACGAUGACUGGCAGACGGACAGUUACGUAAUACAUUAGAAUCAUAUUUCCCAGAGGUAAUUAUUACAUCAAUCGGGUAUGAUAUUUAUUUUAACGGUAAUCUUUUCCGGUUUAUAAAAUUUAAAUAAAGUAAAAAAAACAGGUAGACACUGUACCAUUUAUAAUCCUGCAUAUCACAAAAACAUACCAUAUGUAGUUUAGAA